UAACAAGGUUUCCGUAGGUGNACCUGCGGAAGGAUCAUUG
rnacentral:rRNA from 2 species